GAUGCCAGAAAAGCUGUGUAUUUCCUCCCCAUCCGAAGCCUGUGCCCUGCUGCCCUCUCCUGGCUGCUGGGCUGACCACCACCCAGGCUGGGCUUCCUUCUGGUCCCUCACUCAGGGCUGACCCUGCCACCCCCUCCCGUGGAACAACAUGCACCCUGGCUGGCUGGAUGCUGUGUGAAGUUCUCUGGGUUGAUGCCUGAGUCCCUGCAGGAAUCUGCAUCGCCACCCAUGUUUCACAGAUUGAAGCAGCACAGAGGGCAGGAGGCCUGGAGUUCAGCAGGCACGGCUGGACUUCAAGCCUGUGAAGCGUGUGAGCAGCCCUGGAGAAGGAGCCAGCUCAGACCUCAGGCAGUGCUGGCAAGUCCCUGCUUCAGAUGUCCGUCGUGGGCCUGGACGCUGUGCCCACAGCAGGCGGCUGGGGUGUCGAGCCUCCCGUCAGCUGCUGUUCAGGACUCCCACAGGGCGUGCUGCAGAGUGCAUCUCUCGCAUGGUGUCCUUGCAAAGCUGAGCUGCUUCUUGCUGUGAGCUGCCUCUUUUCCUCGUGCAGGUUGGUGGCCCUCGACUCCACUCUGAUUCUGACAACUUUCACGGAACUCCGGGAACUGCCUCUCCCUAGGCCUGGCCCUGCUCACACGUGGUCUGUGGCUGAGAUAGCACUCAGCCACAGGUGGUUUCUGAGGCUGGUGACCUUUGAGGAUGUGGCUGCGGACUGCACACUGGAGGACCCUGUACUUGAGCGGAAUGAGACGUGGAGGUUCUGCAUCACCUCGUCUUCCUGUCUCCUUUGGGACCCCACAGCUGCUGUGUGGGACAGCUCAGGAGGAUAUUUCAGCACCGCGGACAGCUCCCCACACCGCUUCCGGGGAUGGUGCCCGGCUACUGCUGACUGACAUCGCUGCAGCUUCCCAGUUCUGCCUGUUCCUGAGCUUCCUCAGAGUGAAUUGUGUGCCCUGUAAUAGUCCGACGCCUAAGCUCCACACUGUCAGCCUUCAGGAUGUUUCUGUAGGGACAGUGUCUGACACCGGGUUGGUAAAACCAGUUAUUCUGAAUUCAGUUCCUGACUCCUAGGAGGGAAGGGGUGAUGUGGCUAUGAGCCCUUUGCCUCUUCCUAUGGGGGCCAGGGUCGGGGGGAAGACUCCUGGGGGCUGAUUCUCCCAACCCCACCUCUGUCCCAUCUUGCUCCUGGGCUGGGGACAGGAAGUGUGGUGGAUGUCAGGUCUAGGCCCAAACCUGCCUUUAUCACUCCCAGCUGGGAUCCUGGCUGGCCCAUCUGCCUUGGGGAGUCUCAGUUUGUAUUUCUAAAAUGCGUCUUUAUGGAGGGCUGUUUGUUCAUUCAUUAACGAAUGCUCCUUGGGCUGGCACCGCAUCAGGAAACUCACAGCCUAUGAUGAGUGAGAACCUGUAUCUUCCAUUGUGCUAAGCACAUAAAAUGGGUGCAGGCAGCACCUAUCUGGGCACCAGUGGCUGGGGAGGGCCUCUGAGAUGACAGCUGAGCUUCUGAGUGGCCAGCAGCAGACAUGAGGGUAGAAAGAGAGCUGUAGGUGAGUCCGAGAAAUGCAGAAAUCAGGUCUCAAAAGGCCUGGACGUCUGGGAAGGAAUUUGGAUGGUUCUGGGCCAGGGAUGUAACUUAGUGGUGCAGUCAGUGCCUUCAUGGCAAACUUGAGGCCCUGAGUUUGAUUCCUGGUACCAAAAAAAAAAAGGAUGGUUUUUCAAAUUAGGAAUUUGGAUGGUUUCAAACUCCCAUGCUGCCUGCUUUUGUGUGGCCUGUGAGUUAAAAGUGCUUUUAACAUUUUUUUUUUUUUGAAACAAGGUUUUGCAAUGGAGUACAGGCUGGCCUUACACUCACUAUGUAGGGCAGGCUGGCCUUGAGCUUGUGCUGACCCUUCUGCCUCAGCCUCCUGUGUGCUGGGAUGACAGGUGUGUGCCACCACACCUCGCUGAUUUUUACAUUUUUUAAGAGCUUGGAGAGGAAACAAAACUAGUUAUACAAAACU
ensembl:lncRNA